UGCAAGUCGAACGGUAUACCUUUGGGUAUAUAGUGGCGGACGGGUGAGUAACACGUAGUCAACCUACCCAACAGUGGGGAAUAACCCCUCGAAAGAGGAGCUAACACCGCAUACGCUCUCAGUCGUUGGACGGAGAGGAAACCUUGGUAGUGAAAUACCUGGGGCUGAUGGAUGGGACUGCGGCGGAUUAGCUAGAUGGUGGGGUAACGGCCUACCAUGGCGACGAUCCGUAGCUGGUCUGAGAGGACGACCAGCCACACUGGGACUGAGACACGGCCCAGACUCCUACGGGAGGCAGCAGUGAGGAAUAUUCCACAAUGGGCGAAAGCCUGAUGGAGCGACGCCGCGUGCGGGAAGAAGCCUUUCGGGGUGUAAACCGCUUUUCUUUGGGAUGAUACGUUCGGUUAGUAGCCGGACUAAGACAGUACCAGAGGAAUAAGCAUCGGCUAACUACGUGCCAGCAGCCGCGGUAAUACGUAGGAUGCAAGCGUUGUCCGGAUUUACUGGGCGUAAAGCGCGCGCAGGCGGCACGCAAAGUACCUUAUGAAAUCUCCUUGCUCAACGGGGAGGGUGUGGGGUAAACUGGCGAGCUAGAGAGCGGUAGAGGGGGGUAGAAUUGCUGGUGUAGCGGUGAAAUGCGUAGAGAUCAGCAGGAAUACCCGUGGCGAAGGCGGCCCCCUGGGCCGUAUCUGACGCUGAGGCGCGAAGGCUAGGGGAGCGAACGGGAUUAGAUACCCCGGUAGUCCUAGCAGUAAACGAUGGCCACUAGGUGUGGGGGGUGUUGACCCCCUCUGUGCCGAAGCUAACGCAUUAAGUGGCCCGCCUGGGGAGUACGGUCGCAAGACUAAAACUCAAAGGAAUUGACGGGGACCCGCACAAGCAGCGGAGCGUGUGGUUUAAUUCGAUGCGACGCGAAGAACCUUACCAGGGCUU
rnacentral:rRNA from 1 species